rnacentral:rRNA from 1 species
UGGAAUCGCUAGUAAUCGCAGAUCAGAAUGCUGCGGUGAAUACGUUCCCGGGUCUUGUACACACCGCCCGUCACACCAUGGGAGUUGGAAAUGCCCGAAGCCAGUGACCCAACCGUAAGGAGGGAGCUGUCGAAGGUGGAGCCGAUGACUGGGGUGAAGUCGUAACAAGGUACC